GUAGCACUGUACUGACAGCUGUAGGACUGGAGAUGUGGAAGCAAUGGCUAAGGAUUGAAACAACACUUUUCCCAGGGUUGAUGGAUGGAGGAUUAUUGGGUGUUGACUUGAUAUUCACAUUUUGGAUGAUGAAAUAAGACUUUGUGAGGAUCACAUAAGAAAGACAAAGAAGCCCAGAAGAACAACUCAGAGGCAUCCAAAAGCCAUUGGAGCUGGCGGCCUGGAGUAGGCAGGCUUGCUGUUCCCUUGCAGUAGUGGCUUCCUUUUCACCAAGGUCGUGUGCAUUGGCAGUGAAUUGCUUUGGAGUGUUUGAGUGUGGUGGUGCGCAUGUGGGUACUUAUUAUUAUGGGCAUUAGUGAAGCCCUGUGUCUAGCCUGGCUCUCUAUUGGUAAGCACCAUUUUGUUUCCUUUGUCUUUUAGAUAAUUUUUUAUUACAUUACAGCAGCUUGUUGCUAGUUACACUCCCUGAUUCUUUCAUGUUCACUACAUUGCAUUAGACCAAUUUUUACUGUUCAACAAAGAUCUAUAUAUAUAUUUUUUUACUAUUGACAUAUCCAUGUCUCCUGGUCUUUUGUGAGGAACUGAACCUGGGUCCUUGGUUUUCUUUUCCCCAGGUCAUUAACCCUGGGUGGCGUAGUCGUUACCUGCUGAAUUAGCUGAACGUUUUUAAGUUUAUUAAUAGAGAGUCUCUUUAACCCUUCCAACUCCACUUUGCCACAUUUUGUCAUAGUCAACAGGAUUUCUCUAAAAAUUUCACCUGAGAUGUGGAUAUCUUUUUGCUGUCUGGUUAUUGUUGGGACUUUUUCCUUCUCUCUCCUUUUUCUUCUCCUUUUUAUAUUAGAAGCAAAACAGCAGUGUUUGUUACUGGGCUUGGAACAUCCUGUUGGGUAAGGUUCUUCUGCCCUGAAAUUCUCCAAAUUUGGGGUAAGUCUUCCUUCUUUUUUUCUCUCAAAUGAUGGAAGAAGAAAUGCUGGAAUUCCAGGAGCUUGUAGCCCAAUUAAGAGCUAAUAACAUAAAUCUGAGACAGGAGUGUGCACAGGCUGGUUUACCUGGUCGUAGUAUUGAUUCUAUCCUACCUGGUCCAGCUGUAGUUGCAUCCCAAUCAGUUGGUGCUGGCGCCGCAGCCGACCGAGUGAUUUGUUUUGAUACUGAGGGACAGAAAGUGCCUAAAAUUUAAUGGUAGAUCUGGCAUCGGGAUUAAUGAGUGGGUUGAAGUACAGGCUUGCAUGCAGGCCCUUCAUUUGUCUGUAACAGACCAAUACUUCUUUUUGUUUGAUCACUUAGAGAGAGAAGCACGGGAAGAGAUGAAGUACCGGCUUGUAAAGGAAUGGUACCAGGAAUGGUAACAGGAAACCCUGUUAAAAUUAUUUCUGCUCUAAAAGAUGUAUAUGGGUGUUCCCAAUCAUCUGGUGCAUUGCAGGAGGCUUUCUUCUCUAGGAGGCAACAGAGGGCAAGACGUUGUUGGAGUUUUCCCUCACCCUCAUGGGCCUCCUGGUGAAGCAGCUUGUCUAUCACCAAACCACUGCUACACUGCUAGAGGUUUGCUGUGAAGUUGUUAGGUGGGAAUGCAAGGACCUCCUCCUUCCCUAUGAUCUCUUAGUCAUCCAAGAGAUGGCCCAAGCAUCUACAGGGUUCACCCCCUUUGAGCUCGGUGACCUCGGGGACUGCUGGAUGUGGCCUAUAAAGCUUGGGAGGAAGAGUCCUCUCCAUUCUGCCCCCUGUAAGCCUAUAACUUGCCAUCCCAACCCAGAGAAUUCCAGCCAGGUGACCAGAUGUUCUUACUGCUCCCAAAUGCCUCCUGUAAAUUCCUGGCCCACUGGCAGGCCCCCUGCACAAUUCUUGAGCGGGUAGGCCCAGUGAACUACCACCUACACCAGCUGGGGUCUGACAUGCAUACCUUGGUCCUUCAAGGAGAGGAUCUCAUUCCCACACAGCAUCAGGAGCUGACAGAGCUGGUCGACCAGUUCACCAACAUUUUCUCAUCCUCCCCAGGCCGGACCGACCGGGUCUAACAUGAGAUAAAACCCUGCCGGGAGUGGUGGUCAGACAGUGGCCCUACCACGUCCCAGAGGCUAACUGUCAGGCUAAUGAGGAGGAGGUUAGCCAGAUACUACAGGAUGGAGUUAUUGAGGAGUCUGCCAGCCCCUGGUCCAGCCCCAAUGUAGUGGUCCCAAAUCCUGACAGUAGUAUCCACCUUUGUAAUGAUGUCCGAAGUCUGAACCAAGUUUCGGAGUUUGACAGCUACCCCCUUCCCCGAGUCGACAACUUGGUAGAGUGCCUGGGGCCAAGUGCACAUCCACCUUAGAUCUGACAAAGGGCUACUGGCAAGUCACCCUGGCCUGUGGCCACUGGCAGUACCAGGUUCUCCCUUUUGGAUUACAUGGGGCACCAGCGACCUUCCAGCAUCUGAUCAUCUUAAACGGAUAUCAUCUUAAGGCCACACCACCAGUUCACAGCCGCCUACUUGGAUGAUGUCAUCAUCCUCUCCUCCAUCUGGGCCGACCACCUGUACCACCUCAGGGAGGUACCCGGAGGCUUCCAGAAGGCCAGGCUGAUGGCCAAGCAAAAGAAUCGUCAUCUGGAACUGACGGAGGUUCAUUACCUGGGGUACCGCAUCAAAAAGACAAGAUUUUGGAGCUGGCAGGGUACUACAGGAUAUUCGUCCCUAACUUCUGCUCUCUAGCUUCCCACCCUUUCAGACCUUAACAAGAAGGGCCAAAUGUAACGGGUGUGAUGGCCCUCAAGCAGACCCUCACCAGAUUGCCUGUUAUCAGGAACCCAGACUUCUCCCAUCGCCAGAGUAACUGCAGCAUUCAGUGCCACUUAGCAUUCAGUAACUGCAGCAUUCAGUGCCCAACAUUCAGUGCCACUUAAACACCUUGUUUGUUUUGGACAGCAAAGGAGCAUGUGGCUGCAAGGCGGGGCAGUAGAAACACACAAGGCUGGGAGCUAAUGAUUGGAGCGUCUUCUCCUCACUGUUCUGCGGGAGAGAGGUGGCUAUAAAAAUGCUACCGAUGAAAGCAGAGGAGAAUCUCCCCAGAUGCACUGCACCUCCAGCCGGCACCCUUGGCCUGCUCCACACUCCCUGGGUCCCGCCUCGCUGCCGCUUCAGCCCAUUCCUCAUGGCCCACCUGAGCACAAAUAAAAAGAGCACUUUUUCCACUACCACCGCCUUCAGUGUGUCUGUGUUCUGCCUGUCACACCUUUGAGUGGCUACAGUUACUUAAUUUCAUUACCUACUGUAUAAACUUAUUUUGUAUGAACUCCAGCAAAAUCAUACUGCUUAAAAGAAUUCCUUUGAAUUUACAAGAAAUCAGGUGUGUUGGUCCUAAUCAAUUACAGUACUUUCACUGAUAGGAAACCAUGCACUUUUACAUGAUUUAUUUGUACAAAGUUACAAACACACAUUAAAAUGAGGAUGCUUAAAACCAUGUCUAAGCAAUCAACCAAAUAACUUUUUUAAUGUCAGCAUGUAUUCAGGAGAAGAGUGGCAUAUAAUGACAUCCGUAUGUCUUUGACCCUUUAGAAGAGCGCCAUGUACCACUACUCAGGUUAUUCUGCUCUGCUGAACAUCUGUGACCAUCUGGUGAAAUUCAGAAUACUCCUGUAAAUGGCACAAUAUUAGCACUAACCAAAUGACAAGCACAAGCACUGAAUGCAAUUCAGGAUAUUUAGCUACACAAGGGUUAGGAUUGGGUGCACUUAUGCAAUUGUUCUAUUUCACUUGAGUCGAUAUUUUAAUGUUUGUGCAGUUUACAUUUGCUUCUGGUAUGUUGUCUUUCAUUCUGUACAGUGACAUUGUCAUUUUCAUUUAACUAAAGUAAAUCAGUUUCAAUCUUUAGCAUUUUCUUUUAACCAUAGUUCAGGGUACAGAUUACUUCAAAGGCCACCUGCGUCACAGUACAGGCAUCACUGCUGAUGCAUUCAGGCUCCCAUCUCCUCUGGCGAUAACUGACUGAACCAAAAUUGACCCAGUGGACUUGGGGUCAUGACCAGCUAUGAAGUUUCAUGACCCCUCUCUGUGCCACUAAUUGUGUUGGACUGCCUAGAAAAUCAACCCCUCUAAUGUAUUUAAUCCAGGCUGUCUUAGAUCCCUCGAUCUUGUUAGAUCUUCAUUGAAUACACUGUUUUAGAAUGUGGUCAGCAGAGUCUCCUUCUUACACCAACUUUUAACCAAUAUAAAGAUUUCUGCAACAUAUAAAUAAGUUACUCCAUGCAAUCUCUGUCAUUGGUUCAUUGAAAUUUGCAUACUAUCUGCUACUCACAGAGUGGUCAAACUUUAUUAAUAAAGUGUUAAUAUUCUCAUUAGUAGAUUACUCAGUUCAGAAUGUUGCCUACCAGAGGUCAUGAAGGCCAGUGAGGAGUGAGAUGAAGCACACCACUUUAGAGCAUUUGGUUGGAUACUGAGCAAAGUGAAGCUUGAAUAUGAGGAAGUGGAUUCUGAAUUUUCACCGUUCUCUGGGAAACCUGUCAUAUAAUUACAAGGCCAAUUAUAGGAAACUUCAGUUGCAUUGUUUUGUUAUGUCUUUUUUUGGUGGACGGUCUAGCUGCUAGAGGUUUUGUGUUGGGGUAGGCAUGCUCUGCAUUACUUUUAGUAAUUAAUUAAUUACUUUUGUUAUGCUCUUAGGAUAAUCGUUUGGGUUUGUAAUAACACUUAAAAAAUUUUGUCCAACAGAGUUUAGUACAUACUGUAGGCUAUUGAGAAAUGUUUUUGAAUGGCUUUGCACACAGAUAAUGGAAAACACUGAAAAUUAUCUUUCUCUCAUUCUCAAAUCUUUUGAUUUGUCUGUUUCUAAGCCUGAAACAGCUCAAACUAUACUACACAUUUUACCUUGAACCACAGAACAAUGUCACAGUACUAUCUCUGUACUAUGCACCAUUUGAUUCUUUGUGAGUGUGAGUGUGUGCGAGAGAGAAAUGUCUAUAUGUCAAUAUGUCAAUUUAUUUACUUACAAAUAUGGUCACAUGCAAAGUGGCUGAAAUAUGAUGGGU